UGAGGAAUAUUGGACAAUGCCCGCAAGGGUGAUCCAGCCAUGCCGCGUGCAGGAAGACGGCCCUAUGGGUUGUAAACUGCUUUUACACCGGAGAAAACCUAUCCUCGUGAGGAUAGCUGAUAGUAUGGUGAGAGUAAGCAUCGGCUAACUUCGUGCCAGCAGCCGCGGUAAGACGAAGGAUGCAAGCGUUAUCCGGAUUCAUUGGGUUUAAAGGGAGCGUAGGUGGACUGGUAAGUCAGUGGUGAAAUCUCCGAGCUUAACUCGGAAAUUGCCAUUGAUACUGUCGGUCUUGAGUAUAGUUGCCGUUGGCGGAAUAUGACAUGUAGUGGUGAAAUACAUAGAGAUGUCAUAGAACACCGAUUGCGAAGGCAGCUCACAAAACUGUAACUGACACUGAGGCUCGAAAGUGCGGGGAUCAAACA
rnacentral:rRNA from 1 species